GCAAAAUGGCAGAGGCUGGUUUUCCUAGUAAGCCAAGGAUGGGAAAAGUAUGCACCGGUGUUGUAGGUGAUACUUUCAAUUCUGAUAAGGACUUGGUAAGACAGCUCACUGGCCGAGGAGACUGUACUGAAGUGUCACUAGAGGAGAGUGAUGUCAUCAUAAUGGUCUGUCCUAUAUUCAGUGACUUUGGAACUCUGGACCUUGAUAUACAACUGGAGGUGGUCUCAAAACACCUAGCUGGUAAACCUGUUGUUCUGGUGGUGCUGCAUCAUGACACUUUCGACCCAGACUCCACUAUACCUGACAGCAGCAGACUAGUGACCAGGGGCGAGGUAAUACUCACAGUGGACUGUCUAUUUAAUCACAGAGAACUGCUGGACUGUCCUCGCAAUAAAGAAGCAGUCGAUAUGAUUCUGAAGAGGCUAAACGUACAACCAAAGCAGGAAUUCACAGAAGGUAAGCCAAGGAUGGGAAAAGUAUGCACCUGUGUCGUAGGUCAUACUUUCAAUUCUGAUAAGGACUUGGUAAGACAGCUCACUGGCCGAGGAGACUGUACUGAAGUGUCACUAGAGGAGAGUGAUGUCAUCAUAAUGGUCUGUCCUAUAUUCAGUGACUUUGGAACUCUGGACCUUGAUAUACAACUGGAGGUGGUCUCAAUACACCUAGCUGGUAAACCUGUUGUUCUGGUGGUGCUGCAUCAUGACACUUUCGACCCAGACUCCACUAUACCUGACAGCAGCAGACUAGUGACCAGGGGUGAGGUAAUACUCACAGUGGACUGUCUAUUUAAUCACAGAGGACUGCUGGACUGUCCUCGCAAUAAAGAAGCAGUCGAUAUGAUUCUGAAGAGGCUAAACGUACAACCAAAGGUAUAG
rnacentral:lncRNA from 1 species